CGAAAGAAAUCCGAAUGACGUGGUUGCGGAAUGGAGAGGAAGUGACCUCAGCUGUCAGUUUUUCUGAAGUGAUGCCUGAUGGGGAUUGGUACUAUCAGGUUCAUUCUUACCUUGUGUACAGCCCGACUCGAGGAGAAAAAAUUGGUCGAACACCUCAGCCUCUCUGAACCAGUGCUUCAGGUCUGGGACCACUCUCUUCCUGCAUCAGAGCAGAUAAACAUUAUUGUGGGAACAGUAUUGCUGCUACUUGGCUUUGUCUUAAUGAGCGCUGGAUUUGCCUACUACAAGAAAAAGUCUGGUGCACACACGUCUGUCUGCCCAGGAAGAGUUUUGGUUCCUAUGGAGGACCUCCCUACAGCUGUAGCAACUUAGCAGUCAGAACAAACAGAAGUAUUGGUUGCACAGUCUGUCCAAGAUGGAGUGAAUAUGAAAAUCUGUGUAUCUCAAGACAUAGUCACUAUUGGUUGAUGGCUAGGGUGGUGCUUUUUUGCGGAUAAACAUUGUACGUUAGCUGCAGCAAGAGCUUAAAUUGUAUAAUAUACAGUGUGUGUAAAGGCUGGGGUGAUGUAAUUACUGCUUUUUGUCUAAAUGUGUUAAGACUGAGAAGGGUUCAGUUUAACGUGUGCUGUAGAACAGCAGCUGGUCUAGGUGUGAUGUCAGAGCUUCAGCUCCCUGUGCUGCAAGUGCUGUG